CUCAGUUCGGAUCGGAGUCUGCAACCCGACUCCGUGAAGCUGGAUUCGCUAGUAAUCGCGCAUCAGCCAUGGCGCGGUGAAUACGUUCCCGGGCCCUUGUACACACCGCCCGUCAAGCCAUGGAAGCCGGGGGUGCCUGAAGUGUGCAGCCGCAAGGAGCGCCCUAAGGUAAAACCGGUGACUGGGGCUAAGUCGUAACAAGGUACC
rnacentral:rRNA from 1 species